rnacentral:tmRNA from 1 species
GGGGCUGAUUCUGGAUUCGACGGGAUUUGCGAAACCCAAGGUGCAUGCCGAGGGGCAGUUGGCCUCGUAAAAAGCCGCAAAAAAUAGUCGCAAACGACGAAAACUACGCUUUAGCAGCUUAAUAACCUGCUUAGAGCCCUCUCUCCCUAGCCUCCGCUCUUAGGACGGGGAUCAAGAGAGGUCAAACCCAAAAGAGAUCGCGUGGAAGCCCUGCCUGGGGUUGAAGCGUUAAAACUUAAUCAGGCUAGUUUGUUAGUGGCGUGUCCGUCCGCAGCUGGCAAGCGAAUGUAAAGACUGACUAAGCAUGUAGUACCGAGGAUGUAGGAAUUUCGGACGCGGGUUCAACUCCCGCCAGCUCCACCA